GCAGGGACCAGGGCAAUGUGACUAUAAACCAAGCAACGUCAAAGACGGACAGAAAACCCCCAGAAACUAGAAGAGAGGCCUGGAACAGAGCUGAGCUCACAGCCCUCAAAAGGAACCAGCCCUGGAGACAGUGUGACUUCUGGCCUUCGGAGCAGUGAGACAACACAUUUCUGUUGUUCAAGCUGUUUAUGCCACUUAGUCUGUGGUAUGUUGUUAUGGCAGCCCUAGGAACUAACACAAUAGGGCACAGUUUUUCUCCAGUUACAUUAAGAUUGGACACCAUAGCCAACUGCAGUUUUCUCAAGUGUAAUCAAAUCUCGAUGGCAUCUAUCCCUGAGACAAGAAUCUUAUCUACCAGCCUGUGCUGAACAGCAAAUUUGCAUGGAGCUCAUGAAUAAUAAAGGGCUUCCAAAAUGAUGGCACUGUUCCUAGGCCUGCCGGCCUGGGAGCCCUCUGUGCAGACCGACACCCACUGCUGCCGGACCAGCGCUUCCCUGCACUUGCUCUGAGGACAGUCAACUAUGCACACUGACUUCCUUUCUAUUUGAACUUGACAACGGAUUUGCCUAUAUUAUAAGACUCAAUUUCUACAUCUAUAAUACAUGGGCGUCCCUGCCAUGAACAUUGUUGUCAGUACCUUCCAGAAGCCACAGCUUCCCCUCCUCAGCCCUCUGGGAACAGAAAGGUGCACUGCAAUCCACCGGAGAGGCCACGGAGAGGCCACGAAUCAUCCUCAGCUGGAGGCCACGGUCAAGGGUGGGCUGCUCUGCCCUUUCCUCCAUCCCCCAAAGGGUGCUCCGAGUACAGUGGGAAAGCCGAAGGCCCUGGGGAGCAAGUCUUCAGCAGGGAGCAGACGGAGCAGCACGGAGACCGGCCACCUGCUCCCGGCCGAGUGUGGGACCUAGAAGCAGCC